rnacentral:tRNA from 1 species
GGUGACGUGGCCGAGUGGUCUAAGGCGCUGGUUUCAGGAGAGGUGGAGUUACCAGUCUCUUCGGGGGCAUGGGUUCGAAUCCCAUCGUCAUCA